GAGGGGAGACCCUGGGCCAAAAAACACCCCAUGCUGUCUCCCCUUAAAACCAGAACUCUUUGUUUUUUUAUUCAGAUUUUUUGACCUGCCAUGCAAGCGCACCUGCCAUGGCAAAGGCCGGAUGACAAAGAUCGGUCCAGGACUCAUCUCUUCCACCGAGCCUUUCGUCCCGACAUCUCUUACAUCCGUGCAAACCCAAAUCCACCCAAAAAUACCCCAGCUUUCACCUUCCCCAAUCAUCAUAUUACAGUUAUAGCUUUCGAUUAACCAAUAUACAUGAGUUUGCGCCCUUCAGCCGCAAGGAGAAAUCAGAUCUGCAGAUGUUGAAACGAUGUCGAUCCAAUUGAUCUCGGAAAUUUCAAGGCUUCGAACCUCCAUCGGUGUAAGAGAUCGGU
rnacentral:lncRNA from 1 species